GAGGGUGCGAGCGUUAAUCGGAAUUACUGGGCGUAAAGGGCGCGUAGGUUGGUAUUUAAGUCAGAUGUGAAAUCCUCGAGCUUAACUUGAGAACUGCAUUUGAUACUGGAUACCUAGAGUUUGGUAGAGGGAAGUGGAAUUUCCGAUGUAGCGGUGAUAUGCAUAGAUAUCGGAAGGAACACCAGUGGCGAAGGCGGCUUCCUGGACCAAUACUGACACUGAGGCGCGAAAGCGUGGGUAGCAAACAGGAUUAGAUACCCUGGUAGUCCACGCCGUAAACGAUGAGAACUAGGCGUUGGGGGUUUCCUCAGUGCCGUAGCUAACGCAUUAAGUUCUCCGCCUGGGGAGUACGGCCGCAAGGUUGAAACUUAAAGGAAUUGACGGGGGCCCGCACAAGCGGUGGAGCAUGUGGUUUAAUUCGAAGCAACGCGCAGAACCUUACCAACCCUUGACAUCCUAGGACAACUCCAGAGAUGGAGCCUUCCUUCGGGACCUAGUGACAGGUGCUGCAUGGCU
rnacentral:rRNA from 1 species